rnacentral:rRNA from 1 species
UCGUAGUGACUGGGGAAGGAUCAU